CACGGGGGGGGGUAAGCGUUGUUCGGAAUUACUGGGCGUAAAGGGCUCGUAGGCGGCCAACUAAGUCAUACGUGAAAUCCCUCAGCUUAACUGGGGAACUGCGUGUGAUACUGGAUGGCUUGGAUUUGGGAGAGGGAUGCGGAAUUCCAGGUGUAGCGGUGAAAUGCGUAGAUAUCUGGAGGAACACCGGUGGCGAAGGCGGCAUCCUGGACCAAUAUUGACGCUGAGGAGCGAAAGCCAGGGGAGCAAACGGG
rnacentral:rRNA from 1 species